GCUUGGAUGGCUCAGUUGGUUAGAGCGCAGGUCUCAUAUUUCAAAUAUGACCACUGUUUGGUGGGUAAUCCUGAGGUCAUGAGUUCGAUCCUCAUUCCGAGCA
rnacentral:tRNA from 1 species